rnacentral:rRNA from 5 species
UGGGGAAUAUUGGACAAUGGGGGGAACCCUGAUCCAGCCAUGCCGCGUGUGUGAAGAAGGCCUUAUGGUUGUAAAGCACUUUAAGCGAGGAGGAGGCUCUUCUAGUUAAUACCUAGGAUGAGUGGACGUUACUCGCAGAAUAAGCACCGGCUAACUCUGUGCCAGCAGCCGCGGUAAUACAGAGGGUGCGAGCGUUAAUCGGAUUUACUGGGCGUAAAGCGUGCGUAGGCGGCUUUUUAAGUCGGAUGUGAAAUCCCCGAGCUUAACUUGGGAAUUGCAUUCGAUACUGGGAAGCUAGAGUAUGGGAGAGGAUGGUAGAAUUCCAGGUGUAGCGGUGAAAUGCGUAGAGAUCUGGAGGAAUACCGAUGGCGAAGGCAGCCAUCUGGCCUAAUACUGACGCUGAGGUACGAAAGCAUGGGGAGCAAACAGG